UGUCAGCGGACUGCUCGAGCUG
rnacentral:snRNA from 1 species